GGCCGCCUGGCGAAAUGGUAUCGCGUCUGACUACGAUGGAAGAGCUAACAAUGUUAUCAGGAGAUUACAGGUUCGACUCCUGCGGUGGUCA
rfam:Termitomyces sp. J132 unplaced genomic scaffold scaffold92, whole genome shotgun sequence.